rnacentral:rRNA from 1 species
GAUGAACGCUAGCGGCAGGCCUAACACAUGCAAGUCGAACGGUAACAUGAGUAGCAAUACUUGAUGACGAGUGGCGCACGGGUGCGUAACGCGUAUGCAACUUACCUCUAACUGGAGAAUAGCCUUCCGAAAGGAAGAAUAAUACUCCAUAAUAUUACGAUGUGGCAUCACAUUGUUCUUAAAGCUUCGGCGGUUAGAGAUGGGCAUGCGUCUGAUUAGCUUGUUGGUGAGGUAACGGCUCACCAAGGCAACGAUCAGUAGGGGGCCUGAGAGGGUUAUCCCCCACACUGGUACUGAGACACGGACCAGACUCCUACGGGAGGCAGCAGUGAGGAAUAUUGGUCAAUGGACGAAAGUCUGAACCAGCCAUGCCGCGUGCAGGAUGAAUGCCCUAUGGGUUGUAAACUGCUUUUAUAUAGGAAUAAACCCCUUUACGUGUAAAGGGCUGAAGGUACUAUAAGAAUAAGGACCGGCUAACUCCGUGCCAGCA